UGGUAUUUCCACACAAGUUUAAGACGCUAGAGGGGCAAUCAAGGUAUUUCAACGUCUCGGUUCUCUUCCCCAUUAAUGAAGGUGAUUGAAUGUGUCCGUGCGUUUCCAUCCCACCCAACCAAGCGUCGUACUUCAACAAGUUCACCCCUACCUGUUCAGAUAGAACCUCAGUCAAGCGCUGGCUUGCCAAGGGUUGUUCAGGAUGGUGAUUGUCAGGGUUUAGGGUGAUUACGUAGAGGAACCAGCGGUGUUUGGUUGUAAAGGCAACAAUUCUCGACGGUAAAGUAUAUCUGCACACCUUUGUUGGACUUUUUUGUUAGGAUGACAACGAUUCAAUGGCGGUUGAAGAAGAUCCGACGGUGGUGUCAAGGUUGUGGUCGUUUAUCUCAUUUGUGCAUUAGGGUUUGUGUUUUAGAAUAGGGGAAUCGGAUAUAGUUUUAUGCGUGUGUAAAUAUUCGUUUUUUUAUGCAAAUAAGUUAUAUUAUCAUCCUAAGAUUAUUGUUUACAUGAUAUUGUUUUUAUGAAUGAUCAAGAAGGUGAAACGUUGCAUUCAUGAUCCCGGCAGGCCGAGAUAGAGGGCUGCAGGUCAUCAUUGCACCGGGAACCGCCAUUUGCAGUCACACCACCGAUAUUGGUUUUAGAAGAUGCUUUCUUAUGGUUAAAAGAAAGUGGAACUGGUCCAAACUUAGAAGAUGCAGCACAGAGCAGAACCAUGUAGCAGCCGUCGUUACGACAUCGUACAACAUUGGUUCACGUCUCCUUCUACGACAACUAUAAUUUCAUCUCUCUCUCUUUGUGCUUUUAUCACACAAGAUUCUGCUGACCGUGACCUUUUGUUCAGAAACCUUAAGUCAUUUGAUGUUGUCGUAAUUAACCACGUUGCUGAUGGAAAUCGCAACCCAGAGCCAUUUAAUAUUUCUCAAGA